GACAAUGCUCAUCCAGCCCCACCAGCAAGGCUCUAUCAGGUGCCCGAAGGUGCCCAAGCUAGCAAGCAAUCCUUAUAAAUGUGCACAGUAGUUAACCAAGCACAGAAAGAAAGGCCAAUGGGGGCCUGGAGCAGUGCAUAGGGUCUGGACCUGCAGCAGGAGGCCUGAGAAGAAGGGGUGAGAGUCCCCGCCUACUGUGAUCACCUCCCAAGUAAAGUGCUACAAUCACACCCGCCGACAAGUUUGCCUCUCUGGGAGCCCAGCCUAAGAUGAACAACUUAGUGGACCCAGGACUCUGGACCUCUGUGAUUGAAUAAUUUUCAAAGUAGCAGAACAUGAAGCACUUUCCUGUGGAGAUUAAUAGAGGAGUAACAUUUGUUAUAGGGAAAUACAGCUGGUGAUGCAGAGCAAUGUCCAGCAGUGUCUCAAACCUGAAAGAUCAGCGGGGUGGAGAUGGA